rnacentral:lncRNA from 1 species
GGCCCGCACUCUAAUAGUGCACUUAUCUGAAUUCAACCUCAGUUUGAAUUGUCUUAACCGAUCGACCAACUUGGCCAGAUUUGCCAGAUACCCCCCUUCUAUUUGGGACUUUGCUAUCAUGUCAUCAACAUAGCAUUCAAUUUCAUGAUGAAUCAUAUCAUGAAACAAAGUCACCAGGGCUCUCUGAUAAGUAGCACUGGCGUUCUGCUCCUCUAGAGGACAGUCUUCUCUCCAUGG